rnacentral:misc_RNA from 1 species
UUCGUACGGGCGCCGACUCGUCGAUCGAGCGUCAGCGUAAGCUUCUCUCCUCCGCCCGUCACCCUGAAGCUGGUUAUAAGCGGGCCCGUUAGCGAGAGCGAGCCGGGUCCCGCAUAGCGGGGACGGAGAGGAAAUUUGGCCGCCGCCGAGAGCAAGGCGGCGUCGCGGACGUCCCGAGACGAACACGGACAACGGCGCGGCUUGUGCUUAAGACCACGGGGCCACCGGGCGCAACACGCAAACCGCCGAGCGAGCGAUUCGGUGAGCGCCGGAUUUUACGGCCGCGAAGGUCCAGAGCGCGUCGCAAGAGCAAGCGACGCGAUUGUUUUGACACUAGCCGACCCUCACACAGACGAA